UGUCCUCCAUAGGAGGUCUAUAUUGAGCAGAUUCUUUUUGGUAUUGGGUGGUGGAACCGGAGCGUGCUCCAUCCACUCCAUGCAUUGACCUGGUAUAGCAGUGCUUCCAGGACCGGUGC
rnacentral:snRNA from 1 species